rnacentral:lncRNA from 1 species
UAAAAUUUUUUUGACAUAAAGGUUUGCAACUGUUGACAUUUCAGAAUAUUGGUAUAUACAAAGUCAAACCUAUGAGUAAAAAUGCUCAUAGUCAUGUAUGUGCAAAUGGGUGCAUACAGUUUGAAUUUGUUGAAAUUAAAAUUUUUAACCAUUAAAAAACAAAAUAAACAUAAACUGACUUAAAUAUGCUUCCAAAUUCAAAGUAGUAAUAAUAAAAGAGAUAGUAAUAUUGUUCUAAUCUACUUACAUGCCGUUACAAGGAUUGCGUUGCAACUUAGUUGUUGUCAUAUUAGUACGUCCAAAUUAUGCUAAUUGGUUUGUUGGGAUAGUGAUAGGGUAAACAGACAUGUUACGUAGGUUAAAACACAGUAAGAUUUCGAAUUUGGAAUGGAUCCUGAAGGAAGAUGCGUAUGUGAAACGGGUGAUGUUUUGUUAGAAUGGAGAAAGACAAUGCUCCAGGAGUUGCGUAUUAAUUGUAGCAAAGUAUGAAAUGUUAUUCUAGGCUCUUGUACAAAUGUGAUGGUCUUAGCUCGUAGAUGUUAUACGAUGCGGGCAGAGGUCAAAGCAUAGGAAAUGACAAAUAGGAAAAUGUUGUCAUAAAUUAAUCUAAUUUAAGAUAUGUUGUUCUCAGUAAGUUAACUGAGGGAUGUCAUAAGUAUAAUAAUAUCAUAAUAUUAUGAAGUAGUAAGUGCCAUACACUGUGAAACUAUGAAGUGUAUAGAAAUUAAAGGAAAGCUAGUUAGUUAAAUGAAAAAAUAUUAAUAUCAAAACAUCGGUUAAGAAACUUUAAAUUGAAAAAUUGAAAAAGGUAAGAAAUUGAUAAAAUUAAAGAUUAUUUUGUUUGAGCUAUUGUAUAAUGGGAUAUGUACAAAGAAAAAGAAAGAAACGAAAUAUUAAUGGAAGGGUGUAGGCACUUACUUGAGAAUAGUUUUUAACUAAAUAAAUAAAUUAACACAUAACACAUAGGGUUUAAAAGCACAAAGACAUAACAAUUAUUGGUAAAAGGUUUUUUUUAAGGGAGGUAGCACUACAUUUCCCCAAUUACUAUUUAACUUAGUUUUUACUUCCUAAAUUGAAGUCUAGUUUUUGUGUUUUCAAGAGGGAAUAUUGACAGUGUAGGCAGAUGUAGGUUAUCUGAAAUGUCAAAACACUUCUUCUCAAAUGUUGUACAGUAGUUGCCUAUUUUAAUUAAAUCUCUUAGUAACAUAAAGUAUACAGCAUUUUCAAAUUUUACAAAAAAGAUAGUUGUUAAUUUAUAGCAUUAAUAACAAAAUCUAAACUAUAUGUGUAACCACUAUUGUGAAAAAACUGUUGUAACAAUAAUAAAAAUACAUGAUUAAUUAUUCUACAUUAGUAUUCAAGUAGAGAAGAAUUAAAGUAGAGAAGAAGUGUUGAGUUUAAGUUUAAGUAGGCAGUGCAUAAUCUAACGUACAAGCAUAUCACCUGUUGCAUAAUUGUAGAUGAGUAAGAUAAAUUGAUUAGCCUAGUCUAUUUAAAUUUAGUAAAUGAAAACAGAUAUAAAACUUGAAAGUUAUAACGAAGAAAAAGAAAAGAAAGUUGGUUGGUAGUAUUGUUAAUAUUGUAGUCGUGGCAAUGCCACGUCAACGAGGUCAAAGGAAGCGGAAUGUUUAAUGACAGGUGUGUGGAGGGAGGUAGGGGGGGUGUUAAUUUAAAAGAGAACCUAAAGUUUGUUUAAAUCCUAUUUGUAUUUAAGUAUUGGUGCCAACCAACUUCCUCAUGCGCCAUAAAUGGUAAGUUAUAAAUUUAAAGUAUUUAAUAGAUUAAAAGGUUUUGAUAACUUGUACAAAAUAAUCAUGCACUUCCAUAGCGGAACCUAUUAAAUUUAUAAAGCUAUAAUAUAAAAUGUGUAGUCUUAGUGAAUUCAAAAUAAUUUAGGGUGACAUUUUUAAAUUGAGAAACACGUGUUUAAUGUUUAAGAAUAUUGCACUGAUCAAACUCCGUAUUAAAUGUUCAAACGGUCAGGCACCUAUGGGAUAUUAACAGAAUGAGCUCAAAUGCCAUACCAGCAAAUUUUCUGACAUUUUAAAAAAGUUGUAGGUUACCAUUUUUAUAUCACCACGUGGAAAAGUGCAGAUGGUAAUUGAUUGUCCAGUAAUGAAGCUAAGAUGGGAAAAUUGGCUGUGUACUGAGCUACAAAAUCAUCAAAUUCAACAGGAAACGAACAAUGGAAAAUGGAUUUGAAUAAAAUUAAAAUUAGCGGGAUUUUGGAAAUUAAGAGUUAUUCAGGACGUGGCCCUUUUUGCAGAUGUGAAGAAUUUUGAAAUCAAUGUCCGGAUUGAAAUUAUGGUUGGAGUUACGGAUAUGUUGGGAAAAAUGAGACUGUCCAGAUGUUGGGCGCUGUAUGUAUCUAAGAUGUUCCUUCAAUCUGGUGUCGAACGAUCUAAAGGUUCUUCCGACGUAAUAUGACGAGCAGCAUUUAACUACUUGUAACGCCG